rnacentral:rRNA from 1 species
UGGGGAAUUGUUCGCAAUGGGCGCAAGCCUGACGACGCAACGCCGCGUGGAGGAUGAAGACCUUCGGGUCGUAAACUCCUUUCGAUCGAGACGAAUGGGUUCCGGGCUAACAUCCCGGGCUAUUGACGGUACCGAGAGAAGAAGCCCCGGCUAACUCCGGGCCAGCAGCCGCGGUAAUACGGGGGGGGCAAGCGUUGUUCGGAAUUACUGGGCGUAAAGGGCUCGUAGGUGGCCAACUAAGUCAUACGUGAAAUCCCUCAGCUUAACUGGGGAACUGCGUCUGAUACUGGAUGGCUUGAGUUUGGGAGAGGGAUGCGGAAUUCCAGGUGUAGCGGUGAAAUGCGUAGAUAUCUGGAGGAACACCGGUGGCGAAGGCGGCAUCCUGGACCAAUACUGACACUGAGGAGCGAAAGCCAGGGGAGCAAA